CUGAGGUAAAGUAGUGGAGCUGUCUUGUAUGACAGGAGAGAGCAGUUAAGGAGUCAGCUAAAUAUAUAUAGCUGGCAUAAUAAACUGGCCAAAAGAAGCCAUAGAAGCCACUGAUGUGAAGACAAGGAAGCUCUUCACAAUGCAUGGAGGACUUCACCCCAAGUCCAGCAUCCUGAGGCUGUACACUCAGAGGAAGGAAGAGGCCGGGGGCUGGUGAGCAUCAGAGCCACCAUCCAAGAUGAAACGGCAAAAAUCCAUGAGUACAUCAGGAAGAUGGCCCCAAGCGAUGGAAUACUUAAUGAAUACCUCAGGCAACAGAAGCCCGAUACAGAGGAAGAGGAGCAAGAACCAUCAUGGCAGGACAAGCCCCUCCACGGAAUGUACCACCGACAGAUACAGGAAGUGGCUGACAUCGAGACAUCGUACCAGUGGCUGGAAAAAGCUGGACUGAAAGACAGCACAGAGGCACUUAUCAUGGCAGCACAGGAACAGGCCCUGAGCACAAGAUCGAUAGAGGCUGCUCAGUCCAGAAGAGGAUCCGAGAUUGAGGAAGACAUACCACCCAGGAAGGGAUUUUUCAGAACCUCUAACAUUUUAAUCAUACCAUCUAAUGCUGUCAGUCAUUUACAGUCAGUCUUCAACACCGCUUUUUGACUUAAAACUCAUCUUAAAUCCAGACAAAACCAAGUUCAUGCCAUAUUUAAAUGCUAAAUCAAAGCCUCAACCUGCCACAAAUCACCACCUUACAGGGCUCUCAAAUACAGUUUGUUAAUCAGUAUAAAUAUGUUAGUACUGGUUCCUAGAGCCUUUGUUCCCAUGACGUGUUUAAAUUGUCUGUUCCGAAGGUUCGGUCUGAGCUGGGAAGAAGGCUUUUCAUUUUUCUGCCCCCACUGCAUGGAAUCUCCUACAGAACGCUUUAAAAUAGAGCUGGCCUCUGUCCCUUUGAAAGGAUUUUAAAUGAUAGAGAAGCUAAACAAUGGGAUGAUUGUUGUUAUAUUGUCUGUAAACUGUAUAGUCAUAUGUGUUCAUUGAUUGUUUUGGAUUGAUUGGCAAAGGACAUGUAUAUUGAGUUGCUGCCUGUCUUGGCCAGGGGAUUUUAAAUCUCAAUGAGUCUCUCCUGGUUAAAUAAAGGUUACAUUUAAAAAAUACA
rnacentral:lncRNA from 1 species